rnacentral:rRNA from 1 species
AUUGAACGCUGGCGGCAUGCCUUACACAUGCAAGUCGAACGGCAGCACGGGGCAACCUGGUGGCGAGUGGCGAACGGGUGAGUAAUGCAUCGGAACGUGCCAUUGAGUGGGGGAUAACGUAGCGAAAGUUGCGCUAAUACCGCAUAUUCUGUGAGCAGGAAAGCAGGGGACCGCAAGGCCUUGCGCUCUUUGAGCGGCCGAUGUCAGAUUAGCUAGUUGGUGAGGUAACGGCUUACCAAGGCGACGAUCUGUAGCGGGUCUGAGAGGAUGAUCCGCCACACUGGAACUGAGACACGGUCCAGACUCCUACGGGAGGCAGCAGUGGGGAAUUUUGGACAAUGGGCGCAAGCCUGAUCCAGCCAUGCCGCGUGAGUGAAGAAGGCCUUCGGGUUGGUU